UAUUAUAGUUUCUACUAUACUUUUCCAGUUGAAAAAGUAUAUUAGGGCAAGCAAAAUGUUCAUUUGAGCUGUUUGGAUAAAAAAUACAGAGAAAUAAAGAGAAAAAAUUUGAUUGAUAAUUUUUUGUGCUGGCCAUCAUGGUUAAAUGUAAUAAAUUGUUUGAAUGAAAUGCAUAAACCACAGUUUAACUAAUGCAGAUUUAAGCUGCUCAAAAUUAAAUGUCAUGGAGAUAAUAUCAUGAGUUAUGUGAUAAAUUUGAAUUUGCUACAACUAGUGAUAUUCAGAUAGAAUCAGAUUCAGAAAACGGUAACUAUUUUAAACAAUACUUAAUUCAAAUAUUAUUAGUUUUAUUUUGAUAUUAAAUUUUAUAGGAGCCACUACCAUGCUUAUGCAA